GCUCGUUAAGCGCAGAAGGACGAAAAGACCCCGGGACCUUUACUAUACCUUGGUAUUGGCAUUCGGUGUGGAUUGUGUAGCAUAGGCGGGAGGCCGAGAGGCGCGGUCGCCAGAUCGCGCGGAGCCGUAAGGUGAAAUACCGCUCUGUUCGCAUUGGAUGUCUAACCUCGAACAGUCAUCCUGUUCAGGGACAGUGCCUGGCGGGUAGUUUAACUGGGGCGGUUGCCUCCCAAAGAGUAACGGAGGCGCCCAAAGGUCCGCUCAGCCCGGUUGGCAAUCGGGUGGCGAGUGCAAGUGCACAAGCGGGCUUGACUGCGAGGACGACGGUCCGAGCAGGGACGAAAGUCGGGACUAGUGAUCCGGUGCCGGUGUACGGACGCGGCAUCGCUCAACGGAUAAAAGGUACCCCGGGGAUAACAGGCUGAUCAUUCCCAAGAGUCCAUAUCGACGGGAUGGUUUGGCACCUCGAUGUCGGCUCGUCGCAUCCUGGGGCUGGAGCAGGUCCCAAGGGUUCGGCUGUUCGCCGAUUAAAGCGGCACGCGAGCUGGGUUCAGAACGUCGUGAGACAGUUUGGUCUCUAUCCUCUGCGCUCGUUGGAAUGCUGAGGAGGCCUGCCCAUAGUACGAGAGGACCUGGGUGGACGAACCUCUGGUAUGCCGGUUGUCACGCCAGUGGCACGGCCGGUUGGCUACGUUCGGAAGGGAUAACCGCUGAAAGCAUCUAAGCGGGAAGCCUGCUCCAAGAUAAGCAUUCCGUGGAACCUUCGAGUUCCUGUAGUCCCCAUGCAGAACACGUGGUCGAUAGGCCGGACGUGGAAGCCCCGCGAGGGGUGGAGCCGACCGGUACUAACGGACGAAAGGCAACACUAA
rnacentral:rRNA from 1 species